UGACCGUGGCCAUAGUUAACUAGUUUGAAUCAUGCGACCCGGUUUUAAGACCCUCACGGUCUUCCUUUAUUUGUUGUUCGCCUGAAUCUUCAUUUCUAAUGUCAGGGAUCAGAUAGGCACGGAAUGGAGGGUUGAGAGGGAAAGAAGGGCGUGGUUGCCGAACAUUUUUUAUCGAACAAUGUGGGGAAGCUUCGAGAGGUGGAGCAAGGGAGAGGGUGUGGAUUCUGGGGGUUUGCUGGGCUGGAUUGGGAGAUAUUGAUCGGCAGGUGAGGGAGAAUCAGCGAUAUCUUCACGAGGUCCGCAAAGCAGGGUGAAGAAGCCGAAGCAGCGAGAAGGUCCACCAGCAUCCCUGUCCUUCACGCGGUCCAGGAUGAAGAAGCAGCCGUUCUUCCUUCCGUGGGCUCCUUUGCACAGUUACAAGAUUAUGGUAGAAUUUUGUGCAUAUGCAGUGGACUGCUACACACGAUCCAUCUUCCAUCAUGUCCAAGUCAAGACAUCAAUUUCUAUUUUUGGUGCUACAAUUGAUUUUCUGAUAUUUAAUUAGAAAAUAAACCUGUUUGCUGCCAAAUCUGUUUUCAAAUGUUUCUCAUGUGACUUGGAAAUGCUUUCUUUGUUAGAUGUGAAUUCAAGCCCACUGUUGGUUAGGAAAAUAAAGACGUCUGUUAUUUUUUCA